rnacentral:rRNA from 1 species
AAAUUGAAGAGUUUGAUCAUGGCUCAGAUUGAACGCUGGCGGCAGGCCUAACACAUGCAAGUCGAGCGGCAGCGGGAAAGUAGCUUGCUACUUUUGCCGGCGAGCGGCGG